CCUACGGGUGACAGCAGUGAGGAAUAUUGGUCAAUGGACGAGAGUCUGAACCAGCCAAGUAGCGUGAAGGAUGACUGCCCUAUGGGUUGUAAACUUCUUUUAUAUGGGAAUAAAAUGUUCCACGUGUGGGAUUUUGUAUGUACCAUAUGAAUAAGGAUCGGCUAACUCCGUGCCAGCAGCCGCGGUAAUACGGAGGAUCCGAGCGUUAUCCGGAUUUAUUGGGUUUAAGGGGAGCGUAGGUGGAUUGUUAAGUCAGUUGUGAAAGUUUGCGACUCAACCGUAAAAUUGCAGUUGAAACUGGCAGUCGUGAGUACAGUAGAGGUGGGCGGAAUUCGUGGUGUAGCGGUGAAAUGCUUAGAUAUCACGAAGAACUCCGAUUGCGAAGGCAGCUCACUGGACUGCAACUGACACUGAGGCUCGAAAGUGUGGGUAUCAAACAGGAUUAGAUACCUUUGUAGUC
rnacentral:rRNA from 1 species